rnacentral:rRNA from 1 species
GACGUAGGGCGCGAGCGUUGUCCGGAUUUAUUGGGCGUAAAGAGCUCGUAGGCGGCUUGUCGCGUCGACUGUGAAAUCCCGCGGCUCAACUGCGGGUCUGCAGUCGAUACGGGCAGGCUAGAGUUCGGUAGGGGAGACUGGAAUUCCUGGUGUAGCGGUGAAAUGUGCAGAUAUCAGGAGGAACACCGGUGGCGAAGGCGGAUCUCUGGGCCAUUACUGACGCUGAGGAGCGAAAGCGUGGGGAGCGAACAGG